rnacentral:rRNA from 1 species
UACGAGUGCCCCGAGCGUUAUCCGGAAUCAUUGGGCGUAAAGGGUGUGUAGGUGGCAGUGUUAGUCGGUUGUUAAAACCUGGGGCUCAACCCCAGAUCCGCGACCGAAACGGCACAGCUAGAGGAUGGCAGGGAUGUAUGGAACUCAUGGAGUAGGGGUGAAAUCCGUUGAUAUCAUGGGGAACACCAAAAGCGAAGGCAGUACAUUGGGCCACUCCUGACACUGAAACACGAAAGCGUGGGUAGCGAAUGGG